rnacentral:rRNA from 1 species
UCGUGAGCAGGAUCUACCACCGGGAUGUUCAUAACCCUUUGUUGUCCGACUCUGUUGCCUCCGGGGCGACCCUGCCUUCGGGCGGGGGCUCCGGGUGGACACUUCAAACUCUUGCGUAACUUUGCAGUCUGAGUAAACUUAAUUAAUAAAUUAAAACUUUUAACAACGGAUCUCUUGGUUCUGGCAUCGAUGAAGAACGCAGCGAAAUGCGAUAAGUAAUGUGAAUUGCAGAAUUCAGUGAAUCAUCGAAUCUUUGAACGCACAUUGCGCCCCCUGGUAUUCCGGGGGGCAUGCCUGUUCGAGCGUCAUUUCACCACUCAAGCCUCGCUUGGUAUUGGGCAUCGCGGUCCGCCGCGUGCCUCAAAUCGACCGGCUGGGUCUUCUGUCCCCUAAGCGUUGUGGAAACUAUUCGCUAAAGGGUGUUCGGGAGGCUACGCCGUAAAACAACCCCAUUUCUAAGGUUGACCUCGGAUCAGGUAGGGAUACCCGCUGAACUUAAGCAUAUC